UGGGCAGUACCAUAACAACAAGGAAUUUACUGCCAAGAGAAAUCUUCAGUACAUGGACUGUGACUGAUACCAGAGUACCUAACUAUCCAUGAUAUCUGCAGUGAACAACAUGAAGCAGCUGCAUCAGUAAUGCUCCCAGCAAACUGAUAAGUUUAAAGCCCUGGGUUCCACUCCUUGUGUUACUCUCCCAGUAGAAAAAGAACACACAUAAUAAGAACUAGGCCACAUGAAAGCAUUAGAUAGGAAAUUAUUAAAAAUAUAUUCAUUACUAACAUUCUUACAUUAGAAUAUUAUUGAAAAGUUUAAUACAUAAAGGGUGCAGACAUGACUCCCAUUGACACUAGAACAGAUACACACAGAGCAUUAGAACCCCAGUAGGGUAUGGGACAGAUAAGUAAACUUAGAGAAGUUAUUAAUCCAGGAAUGACACCUUGUGAGCAUUGCAUUAUUGAAGGGAUGAGAUCUAUACAUGGGAUUUACUAAAAGCUGGGGUACUGAUGAAACUCAGGAUCCCUGGUAACACGAAAUGAGAAGUUUAAACAUCUGCUGUUUCUGACCCUGGUACACUGCUCUUGGGUAUCCUCCUGACAUUGCGGCUACAUAUAGACCAGUGGCAGCUACCUCUGUUCCUGUAUUGAAGCUAAUAUUACAGUGUGCAGAGGUAGUGUUUGAAGCACUGAGGAGGGACAUGCAGUCUGACCGGGCACAUGGCAACCAAAAGGAAAGAGAAGAACAUUUCAUUGGUUUGGGGCAAACUGAGAAGAUUAAGGUAAGGCAGAGUUGAGUCAGCAUGAUUAAACCUCUAUAGGUGAGUGACUAUUGACCUAGUACAGUACAAAUUUACAAACUGUUGAAGUAGACCUUUUAACCUGCAAUUAGAACUGUUUGUUUUUCAGGCGGUCUCAAUGUUCAUCAUGGCCAUCCAGGUGUAUUGUAAACAUAAUACCAAUUACAUGUAUUAUUUAUGGUCCAAAAUUUAGUAUCAUUCAAGUUAAGGAAAAUGGGGUGUGAAGUAAUUAUCUGCCUCAGAGUCCACUGCCCGGAUAUGUAACAGGGUACAAUUAGGGAAUUUUUUCUGAUUACUGUCUAUAAACUGAAAAUCCAUGCAUGGCUGAGAAAGGUUUUUUAUUAGUCUAAUACAGCUGUUUUAGCUUUUCAAUGGCAAUUUUUCUGUCAAAACAAAGGCUGUCAUACUAUAUAGUAUUCAACUCAAGGUUGAACAGGCAUGAAAUAGCAAUGCCAGUCAUCUAAAGGCACUUUAUUAUCUAAGGAUAAAACAAAAAUAAAACAUUAAAAAACGAUUAUUUAUCUGACCCACUUUUAGCAAGAAAUUUGGAGAAGAGGAACUCCCUUUUUAACAGGAAUAAAUGCCCAGUAGAACUAGGCACAGGGGGGAGUGGUCAUCUGCUGUGACCAGCUGGAGUAAAGAGAAAGAGACAGGGCAAAAAAUAUGCUGUGUAAGAGAGCCAGAGAUUGAUAACUAAUAACUAAUAAUAACUCAAAAGAGAGACCUAAAAACUGGAGGCCUGGCUUCCCAUUCUACUUUUAAAUAUUCUAGUAAGCUUAAAGUUUGAGAGUCAAGUGGGGAGAUAUCUUACUAUAGGAGCAGGAUGGUGAAUUAAAAAACAGAUUUAACAAGGAGCCUAUGAAGAUAAGUCAAUAGGAGCAUAUACUCUGUCAUUCUAGUCCCUUUCAGUAUUCAUGUUGCAACAUUUUGAUGUAGUUGAAUGCUUUUUAAGGAGUUUUUACCACAUCCUGAUAAUAACAAAUUACAGUGGGCCAGCCUAGAAGUAAUAAAUGUAUGAAUUUGUC